rnacentral:rRNA from 1 species
CGAUGGAGGGGGAUAACUACUGGAAACGGUAGCUAAUACCGCAUAACGUCGCAAGACCAAAGAGGGGGACCUUCGGGCCUCUUGCCAUCGGAUGUGCCCAGAUGGGAUUAGCUAGUAGGUGGGGUAACGGCUCACCUAGGCGACGAUCCCUAGCUGGUCUGAGAGGAUGACCAGCCACACUGGAACUGAGACACGGUCCAGACUCCUACGGGAGGCAGCAUG